GUGUUGUUCUGUUAGCAAUUUUCCGGUCGACCCUUCUUCACUCCGAUCGAACACCAGCAACCCUUUCUCACGAUUGCCUCCUGUCUUCGAUUUCAAAGAGCUUUGCUUACCGAUUCUGAACAGAUUCUUGGUCGGCUUCCUUCUCGUUAUCAAGCUGCGUCCAACCUGCUACUACUUGAUGAUUAAUCCGAUGAAGAAACUGCCGUUUAGAUAACCACGAUUCUGAGCUCAAUCGCAGGUUCUAACUUCUCUGUUAUUUAAACCCCAGUUUCGCUCUGAUACCAAUUCAAAGACGAAUCGGUACCGAACGGAAUUGUAAAUCGGAAAUUACAAAGUAUUUGGCUAACACCCAAACGUUUAUUAUUAUUCAAGAAACUGACUCAAAACUUGAAUUACAAUCACUAAUACCCAAAGCAUGGUAUUUAUAAUCUAAACACUCCUAUUAGACUAUAACUAGGAUUGCUAAUAAACCUAUUAUUUUGGACAUGAUAAUUAUCACUGAAUAAUUAAACCUAAACACGUUUAAAUAUUCUAUAAUUAUCCACUUCAUGUUUCCUCGCCUUACACGCAAAGGAAUCUUCUUUUAAUUCGAAAUUUCCAACAAUAUAGAGCCUUCAAUACAAUACCCACUACUUGCUAUUGAAAAGGAUAACUAUUCACUCAAAUAGAUAAUGGUAACCCACUCUAUUUUGAAUCAAAAGCGCUUGUAUCUACAUGAUUAAUUUUCUGAAUUUUAUAUUUAUGUAUGAUUCUUCAAUAAUAUACCGUUGCCGUAACCCAUGAAAAAAAUUUAAGAAAUUAAAUGUUUUUCAAGAAAUUGUUUAAUGAUUCUACUUUCUAGUAAUUCAUGUGAUCGUUGAAGCAUGAUAUCUCAAAUGUCCUUCAAUUUAUUUUCAUGGAAUCCAUACAAGUAUAAAGUUUUACUGAUCGUUGAAGCUAACUGUUUAAGUUAUGAUUAUGUUAGCUAUAGUUUGUCUUUAAACUGAGGACUAAUAUUGGCGAUCUACUUAAUUAACGUCAAUUACAGCAGCAUCCCUUUGUUCACAACUUCAUCAUUGUUUCUUCAUCACCUGCUAUACAAGAAAUUUCAGUUGUCACGUGUGAUACUGUUACAUUAUAAAUAUACAUUUUAUUUGUUAAAUUUAUGUUGGUGACUUACUAACGGGUCAAGCUUAUGGGUUGUGCAAUGAACAAAGAUGAUAUGCUAUGACUCUAUGCCUUGAUCAGGGUCCUUCAUCCCUUGUCCGUUUUUUACUUUCAGAUAACUCAUUAACCUUCUUCUCCUUUUACCAUUUUCAUAGCAAACUUUAACCCAAUAACUCCCAUAAACAUGACCAUUGACCACAAGAAUUUGACUUCUAUCUUUUGACCGUUGAGUUGAGUUGAGCUGCUUAAGUAAGCGAAUCUCAAACAUAGAACAGCAGAGUAUAUAAGGCAACCGAGAGACUGAUGAACAAAGUAUAUAAGCAUCCCUCUUACCUGUAGAAUACCUGCACCAUGACAAUUUUUAAAUAAUAAUCAAAAACCUGCCCAGGAAAAUCAUGUAUGAGCAAGAAGGGUAACCUCCACCGCUGCCACCGUCGCCACUAACCGCCAUAAAACAAAUAUAGCACGUGAACCUGUUCUGAUCCAACCCGUUUUGACCCGAACCUAAUUCAUUUCACAUUUUUUAUAAAAGCUGCCCAUUUUGACCCGAACCCAAUUUGACCCUUUACCCAACCCAACCCAACCCAACCCAACCCAACCAGCCCCAUACUAUCAGUCAUAAUAAUGACAUUCUAAGUGUUGGAUCAGGCCCCAUUCAAUCACUCAAGAAAAACUGACGAACAAGAAGAUAUUUAAUGCUACAAUGGUCUGUUUUUUCAUUGAUCACCAUACUAGGCCCUUUAAAAUUUAAAUAGCCAACCAAUACACGUACACAGUGAGAAAAAGUAAACAACUAACACCCUAGUAACCUGCCACUAAAACAAAAGACUCGGACUUAAACAACAACUGCACAAACAGUAGUUACAACUUCAAACAGCAAAAGGAUACACAAAACACUAUCUUGUACAGUCACUAUCACAUUGUCACUUCGGUUCCACGGGAGUAAGCACUAUCUUGCAUACAUAAACAUCUCACACAUUUUUUUUCAUUGCAAAUUAUGUUUUAAAAGGCACCACAUUAUCGGUUUCACAGGGAUAAGCACUAAGCACAGAAUGAAUUAAUAUAAGAAACUGCAAAAACUACUGUUCUAAUGAAACAUAGAGCUAGGAAUCAAUGGGUGGAGGGCCAAAGUCAACAGCAGUUGGAAUAGUCAAAAUCAUAUUGCUGCUAGCCAACAUCUGAUCUAUGUGGCAGGAAAACCUUAAUAUUGAUAUGGUAAAUUCAGGUUAUAAGCAAAAGUGAAGUAGGAAAUCAAAUUGGGCUUAUUAUUUGAUUCACAAAAGUCUGGGUUAUUCUUUUGUUAGACAAAAUGCAACGCAUUGUGUCACCUGCCAGGUUGAUGUUUUUGUUACUUGUUUUGGUCUGAUUUAACAAAUUGAUGCCCUGCUCCUCAAGACUCUAAACGCUUUAUCUUUUUGCAAUCUUUUGUUCAGAUAACUAGAUUAGUUUGUGUAUUUUGUGUUUAAAUACCAUGUAAUCUUCGUAUUUAUCAUGUUAACGUGAUAAAAUAACAUGCACACCAUGUGUUUGAUGAAAUGCUUGAACAAAACCCAGCGCGCGUAAAAUAUCGUCUGAGAUCUAAGUAAUGAGACGCUUGUUAUCAGUUAUCACCAAAGUGAAGGUAUGAUUUCGUUUAUUCAUGUGCAAUUUUUAAUAUUAAAUUAAUUGAUAAUGAUGCACACCACCUCUUUGAUUAAAUGCCUAAGUGAGUUCUUGGUUCCCAUUUGAGUUUACUUUUCACUUGUUGUCUGUUAAAUGGAUUCAUAUAUAUUAUCAUGUUUCACUUUGAUAUUGUAUAUAGCUCUUCUUAAAUAUGUAAUGUUUGUUUAUUAUUUUGGUGCUUUCUAUCUCAUGUAAUGAGAUGGAUUUACAUCGAUUCAAAUUUCAAAAGUAGGUUGUUGGACUUUCAUAGGUCAAAUAGAUUUGAUUGACCAUAGAAGCUAAGUUUAAUACCCUUUACUCAUACUAACUUUUGGCGUUUUGAUUUCCAAAUGUGGUUAAGUAUGAAGCAACAAAUAAUGUCCCGGAUCAAAUAUAUAACGAACUUGGAUUACAAUAUCAUAAGAGAGAUAAUCACCCCUUUAAGAAUGCAAUAUUGUUACUGCUAAACAGGUAUGCAUGCAGAUUGUUUUAUAUCAUAAGAGAGAUAAUCACCUCUCAAGACUCUAAUUGCUUUAUCUUUUCGCAAUCUUUUGUUUGUUCAGAUAACUAGAUUAGAUUAUGUAUUUUGUGUUUAAAUACCAUGUAAUCUUCAUAUUUAUCAUGUUAACGUGAUAAAAUAACAUGCACACCAUGUGUUUGAUGAAAUGCUUGAACGAAACCCGGCGUGCGUAAAAUAUCGUCUGAGACGCUUCUUAUCAGUUAUCACCAAAGUGAAGGUAUGAUUUCGUUUCUUCAUGUGCAAUUUUCAAUAUUAAAUUAAUUUAUAAUGAUGCACACCACCUGUUUGAUUAAAUGCCUGAAUGAGUUCUUGGUUCCCAUUUGAGUUUACUCUUCUUAAAUAUAUAAUGUUUAUUUAUUAUUUUGGUGCUUUCUAUUCAUGUAAUGAGAUGGAUUUACAUCAAUUCAAAGUUCAAAAGUAGGUUGUUGGACUUUCAUAGGUCAAACAGAUUUGAUUGACUAUAGAAGCUAAGUUUAAUACCCUUUAAUCAUACUAACUUUGGUGUUUUGAUUUCCAGAUGUGGUUAAGUAUGAAGCAACAAAUAAUGUCCCGGAUCUAAUAUAUAACAAACUUGGAUUAUAAUAUCAUAAGAGAGAUAAUCACCCCUUCAAGAAUGCAAUAUAUGUUUUAUAUGUUUGAAUACUGGUGCGCUAUUGUUACUGCUAAACAGGUAUGCAGAUUAUUUUAUUUCAUCUGAUCAACCUUUUUGAUGUGAUCUGCAAUACUUUAGGAAUCCAGUUCCUGUAACAACUGAAAUUAGUGAUCGAGGCUAAUGAUGAACCGAAAUACGAAUCGUUAACCGAUAAAAAUAACUGAAACCGACAUAAUCAAUCGGUUAUGCUCAAACAAAUAUGAUGAACCGAGCAUUCAGUUAGGGUUACGGUUAAUGUAUCUCCGUUAACAGACUUUAAGCGAAACCGAACCGAACCUUGUAUGUUUGUGAUUUUCUGCAAUAAUAUAUUGUUGUUGGCUGCUGUACACACCAUAUAAUCAUGUUGUUGCUACAGAGAUAUUGAUUGUUGUGUUAGACAUUGUGCAUAAACGUCAUGGGUUAUUCAGGAAGCAAUCAAUAAUUGUUGUGUUAGGCAUUGUGCAUAAACGUCAUGGGUUAUUCGACAUUGAUUAUGUCAACGUGACAACCAGCUAUGCACACCAUCUGUUUGAUGAAAUGCUUCAAUGAAACCCACUUCUAUGAGAGAUGAAGUAUGGUUUAUAUUGUUUAUUCAAUGUCUUACAGUCACAUAUGCUUUUGUUUGAUGUGGGGGUUUGUGGAUUAUAGCAGCAGCUACUUAGGACUUGUUUCUCGCCUUGCUGUUUGAUUAGAAGAAGAGAGGCACUUGUGUACAACACUCCUAAUGAUCAUGAGACAUACGGGAAGGGAUCACGAAAUUGGGUGAUUUACGAUUUAAGGUGUUGGAUUCAGCCAGCUUAGAGGCUGAGGCUUCGUCUGGUUCUGUUCUUGGUCGGACUGCAGAAAUGACUGCAAAUGUGUUGAGAAAGUGUAAAGUCGCACUAUUUCUUAUUGAUGCAAGAGACUGGUUGCAGCCCAUGGAUUUGGAUGUUGGAAAGUGGCUAAGAAAGCAUGCUCCGUGAAUGAAGAUUGUUACGAUAAUGAAUACAGCUGAAUCACUUGAUGAUGGUUUCGAACUCGUAUAUGACAAGUCUUCGACUCCAAGCUUUUCGGCCAUCUCCUUGAACUUGAUCUUCCCAAGAGCCUUCGUCAAAAUAUCCGCCUUUUGAUCUAUGCCACUAACAUGCUCGACCACAAUAUCUUCACGCUCAACACAUUCCCGAAUGUAGUGAAACCGAGAUUUAAUGUGUUUGCUUCUUCCAUGGAAAACCGGGUUCCUCGCGAGAGCUAUCGCCGAUGUAUUAUCAACACGUAACACCGCCGCUUGAAUUUUCUUGUCGAGUAAUUCACUAAUCAAUUCUU
rnacentral:lncRNA from 1 species